rnacentral:rRNA from 1 species
UACGUAGGGGGCAAGCGUUGUCCGGAAUCAUUGGGCGUAAAGAGCGCGUAGGCGGCUCGUUAAGUGUGAAGCUAAAUCUCUAGGCUCAACCUGGAAACUAUUUCGCAUACUGGCGAGCUGGAGUGAUGAAGAGGUUUGUGGAAUUCCUGGUGUAGCGGUGAAAUGCGUUGAUAUCAGGAGGAACACCCAUGGCGAAGGCAGCAAACUGGUCAUCAACUGACGCUGAGGCGCGAAAGCGUGGGUAGCAAACAGG